AUUUCUUUCAGAGUUUUACAACACAGUGUACAUCAUAAGAAUUCUAACAAUCAAUUAUAUUUUGUUGAUUUUUCUUUUCAUAGAUAUGCCUGUUUUUUAUAACUUUUGUUGUGAGAAGCACUCUUCAA
rnacentral:ribozyme from 14 species